rnacentral:rRNA from 1 species
UACGGGGGGGCGAAGCGUUGUUCGGAAUUACUGGGCGUAAAGGGCUCGUAGGUGGCCAACUAAGUCAGACGUGAAAUCCCGUCGGCUUAACCGGGGAACUGCGUCUGAUACUGGAUGGCUUGAGUGGUGGGAGAGGGAUGCGGAAUUCCAGGUGUAGCGGUGAAAAUGCGUAGAUAUCUGGAGGAACACCGGUGGCGAAGGCGGCAUCCUGGACCAACACUGACGCUGAGUGAGCGAAAGCCAGGGGAGCAAACGGG